UACGGAAGGCAGCAGUGGGGAAUAUUGCACAAUGGGCGAAAGCCUGAUGCAGCUAUGCCGCGUGUAUGAAGAAGGCCUUAGGGUUGUAAAGUACUUUCAUCGGGGAGGAAAAAACAAAACUAAUAAUUUUAUUUCUUGACGUUACCCGAAAAAGAAGCACCGGCUAACUCCGUGCCAGCAGCCGCGGUAAUACGGAGGGUGCUAGCGUUAAUCAGAAUUACUGGGCGUAAAGAGCACGUAGGUGGUUUUUUUAAAGUCAGAUGUGAAAUCCCUGGGCUUAACCUGGAACUGCAUUUUGAAACUGAAAUACUAGAGUAUCGUAGAGGGAGGUAGAAUUCUAGGUGUAGCGGUGAAAUGCGUAGAUAUCUGGAGGAAUACCUGUGGCGAAAGCGGCCUCCUAAACGAAUACUGACACUGAGGUGCGAAAGCGUGGGGAGCAAACAGGGAUUUAGAUACC
rnacentral:rRNA from 1 species